CAACCUGCCGACAACACUGGGAUAGCCUUUCGAAAGAAAGAUUAAUACCGGAUGGCAUAGUUUUCCCGCAUGGGAUAAUUAUUAAAGAAUUUCGGUUGUCGAUGGGGAUGCGUUCCAUUAGGCAGUUGGCGGGGUAACGGCCCACCAAACCAACGAUGGAUAGGGGUUCUGAGAGGAAGGUCCCCCACAUUGGAACUGAGACACGGUCCAAACUCCUACGGGAGGCAGCAGUGAGGAAUAUUGGUCAAUGGACGAGAGUCUGAACCAGCCAAGUAGCGUGAAGGAUGACUGCCCUAUGGGUUGUAAACUUCUUUUAUACGGGAAUAAAGUUAGCCACGUGUGGCUUUUUGUAUGUACCGUAUGAAUAAGGAUCGGCUAACUCCGUGCCAGCAGCCGCGGUAAUACGGAGGAUCCGAGCGUUAUCCGGAUUUAUUGGGUUUAAAGGGAGCGUAGGCGGGUUGUUAAGUCAGUCNUGAAAGUUUGCGGCUCAACCGUAAAAUUGCAGUUGAUACUGGCGACCUUGAGUGCAACANAGGUAGGCGGAAUUCNUGGUGUAGCGGUGAAAUGCUUANAUAUCACGAANAACUCCNAUUG
rnacentral:rRNA from 1 species